CGAACGUAAGAUGACUGUAGGUGAAAGCUUACAUCGUCUUCGGAGCAUUUUACGAGGUGCUGCAUGGUUGUCGUUAGCUCGUGCCGUGAGGUGUCGGGUUAAGUCCCAUAACGAGCGCAACCCUACCUUUAGUUGCCAUCAGGUAAUGCUGGGGACUCUAAAGGAACUGCCUACGCAAGUAGUGAGGAAGGCGGGGAUGACGUCAAAUCAGCACGGCCCUUACGUCCAGGGCUACACACGUGCUACAAUGGCCGAUACAGAGGGCAGCUACCUGGUGACAGGAUGCAAAUCUCCAAAGUCGGUCUCAGUUCGGAUCGGAGUCUGCAACCCGACUCCGUGAAGUUGGAUUCGCUAGUAAUCGCGCAUCAGCCAUGGCGCGGUGAAUACGUUCCCGGGCCUU
rnacentral:rRNA from 1 species